GUGCUAUGAUGUGUUUGUUUAACCCCUCAUUCUGAAAAAAGAAUGUGGUAAUUACUAGAACUGAGCACA